ACGGCUCAGUAACACGUAGUCAACAUGCCCAGAGGACGUGGAUAACCUCGGGAAACUGAGGAUAAACCGCGAUAGGUCAUAAUAUCUGGAAUGAUUUAUGGUUUAAAUCUAUAUGGCCUCUGGAUUGGACUGCGGCCGAUCAGGCUGUUGGUGAGGUAAUGGCCCACCAAACCUGAAACCGGUACGGGCUCUGAGAGGAGAAGCCCGGAGAUGGGCACUGAGACAAGGGCCCAGGCCCUAUGGGGCGCAGCAGGCGCGAAAACUCUGCAAUAAGCGAAAGCUUGACAGGGUUAUUCUGAGUGAUUUCCGCUAAGGAAAUCUUUUGGCACCUCUAAAAAUGGUGCAGAAUAAGGGGUGGGCAAGCCUGGUGUCAGCCGCCGCGGUAAUACCAGCACCCCGAGUGGUCGGGACGAUUAUUGGGCCUAAAGCAUCCGUAGCCGGUUCUACAAGUCUUCCGUUAAAUCCACCUGCUUAACAGAUGGGCUGCGGAGGAUACUAUAGAGCUAGGAGGCGGGAGAGGCAAGCGGUACUUAGUGGGUAGGGGUAAAAUCCGUUGAUCCAUUGAAGACCACCAGUGGCGAAGGCGGCUUGCCAGAACGCACUCGACGGUGAGGGAUGAAAGCUGGGGGAGCAAACCGGAUUAGAUACCCGGGUAGUCCCAGCUGUAAACGAUGCAGACUCGGUGAUGAAUAGGCUUCGUGCCUAUUCAGUGCCGCAGGAAGCCGUUAAGUCUGCCGCCUGGGGAGUACGGUCGCAGACUGAAACUUAAAGGAAUUGGCGGGGAGCAC
rnacentral:rRNA from 1 species